UACGGAGGGGACUAGCGUUGUCCGGAUUUACUGGGCGUAAAGAGCGUGUAGGCGGCCAAACAGGUCCGUUGUGAAAACUGGAGGCUUAACCUCCAGACGUCGACGGAAACCGUAUGGCUAGAGUCCGGAAGAGGAGAGUGGAAUUCCUGGUGUAGCGGUGAAAUGCGCAGAUAUCGGGAAGAACACCCGUGGCGAAGGCGGCUCUCUGGGACGGUACUGACGCUGAGACGCGAAAGCGUGGGGAGCGAACAGG
rnacentral:rRNA from 1 species